GGAAUAUUGCACAAUGGGCGCAAGCCUGAUGCAGCCAUGCCGCGUGUNUGAAGAAGGCCUUCGGGUUGUAAAGCACUUUCAGUCGUGAGGAAGGUGGUGUAGUUAAUAGCUGCAUUAUUUGACGUUAGCGACAGAAGAAGCACCGGCUAACUCCGUGCCAGCAGCCGCGGUAAUACGGAGGGUGCGAGCGUUAAUCGGAAUUACUGGGCGUAAAGCGCAUGCAGGUGGUUUGUUAAGUCAGAUGUGAAAGCCCGGGGCUCAACCUCGGAAUAGCAUUUGAAACUGGCAGACUAGAGUACUGUAGAGGGGGGUAGAAUUUCAGGUGUAGCGGUGAAAUGCGUAGAGAUCUGAAGGAAUACCGGUGGCGAAGGCGGCCCCCUGGACAGAUACUGACACUCAGAUGCGAAAGCGUGGGGAGCAAACAGGAUUAGAUACCCUGGUAGUCCACGCCGUAAACGAUGUCUACUUGGAGGUUGUGGCCUUGAGCCGUGGCUUUCGGAGCUAACGCGUUAAGUA
rnacentral:rRNA from 1 species